rnacentral:rRNA from 1 species
GACGAACGCUGGCGGCGCGCCUAACACAUGCAAGUCGAACGAGAGAUGAGGAGCUUGCUCUUCAGAUCGAGUGGCGAACGGGUGAGUAACGCGUGAGGAACCUGCCUCAAAGAGGGGGACAACAGUUGGAAACGACUGCUAAUACCGCAUAAGCCCACGGCUCGGCAUCGAGCAGAGGGAAAAGGAGCAAUCCGCUUUGAGAUGGCCUCGCGUCCGAUUAGCUAGUUGGUGAGGUAACGGCCCACCAAGGCGACGAUCGGUAGCCGGACUGAGAGGUUGAACGGCCACAUUGGGACUGAGACACGGCCCAGACUCCUACGGGAGGCAGCAGUGGGGAAUAUUGCACAAUGGGGGAAACCCUGAUGCAGCGACGCCGCGUGGAGGAAGAAGGCCU